GUAGUCCACGCUGUAAACGAUGAGAACUAGAUGUUGGAAGGAUCAACCUUUUAGUAUCGAAGCUAACGCGUUAAGUUCUCCGCCUGGGGAGUACGGCCGCAAGGUUAAAACUCAAAGAAAUUGACGGGGGCCCGCACAAGCGGUGGAGCAUGUGGUUUAAUUCGAUGCAACGCGAAGAACCUUACCUACCCUUGACAUGUUCAGAAUCUUGCAGAGAUGCGAGAGUGCCUUCGGGAACUGAAACACAGGUGCUGCAUGGCUGUCGUCAGCUCGUGUCGUGAGACGUUGGGUUAAGUCCCGUAACGAGCGCAACCCUUGUCCCGAGUUGCCAGCGGGUAAUGCCGGGAACUUUAGGGAGACUGCCGGUGAUAAACCGGAGGAAGGCGGGGAUGAGGUCAAGUCAUCAUGGCCUUUAUGGGUAGGGCUACACACGUGCUACAAUGGGAAGUACAAAGGGUUGCCAACCCGCGAGGGGGAGCCAAUCUCAAAAAGCUUUUCGUAGUCCGGAUUGAAGUCUGCAACUCGACUUCAUGAAGUUGGAAUCGCUAGUAAUCGCGAAUCAGAAUGUCGCGGUGAAUACGUUCUCGGGCCUUGUACACACCGCCCGUCACACCAUGGGAGUGGGUUGUACCAGAAGCAGGUAGACUAACCUUUGGGGGUCGCCUACCACGGUAUGAUUCAUGACUGGGGUG
rnacentral:rRNA from 1 species